GACGAACGCUGGUGGCGUGCUUAACACAUGCAAGUCGAACGGAAAGGCCCUGCUUGCAGGGUACUCGAGUGGCGAACGGGUGAGUAACACGUGGGUGAUCUGCCCUGCACUUCGGGAUAAGCCUGGGAAACUGGGUCUAAUACCGGAUAUGACCUUCCAUGUAGUGUGGGGGGUGGAAAGAUUUAUCGGUGUGGGAUGAGCCCGCGGCCUAUCAGCUUGUUGGUGGGGUAAUGGCCUACCAAGGCGUCGACGGGUAGCCGGCCUGAGAGGGUGGACGGCCACAUUGGGACUGAGAUACGGCCCAGACUCCUACGGGAGGCAGCAGUGGGGAAUAUUGCACAAUGGGCGGAAGCCUUAUGCAGCGACGCCGCGUGGGGGAUGACGGCCUUCGGGUUGUAAACCUCUUUCGACAGGGACGAAGCUUCGGUGACGGUACCUGUAUAAGAAGCACCGGCUAACUACGUG
rnacentral:rRNA from 1 species